rnacentral:ncRNA from 2 species
AACCAAUAACGUCUAAACGGAUACAGCCUAAGCGCUGUCUAACAGGGGAAGCUAGUGAAAAUCUAGCACGGACCCGCCACUGUAAAUACGUACUCGUAUAAGUCAGACAACCUGCCGUUAUGUAGAACGUAAU